rnacentral:rRNA from 1 species
UGGGUCGGUGGUGCGCGCAGCGUGGUUAGUACGUAGGUGGCUAGCGUUGGUCGUGAGUGCGUGGCGGAAAGCGCACGUAGGCGGAUUGGUAUGUCGGGGGUGAAAGCCCGGGGCUCAACCCCGGAACUGCCUUCGAUACUGGCAAUCUAGAGUCCGGAAGAGGUGAGGGGAAUUCCGAGUGUAGAGGUGAAAUUCGUAGAUAUUCGGAGGAACACCAGUGGCGAAGGCGGCUCACUGGUCCGGUACUGUCGCUGAGGUGCGAAAGCGUGGGGAGCAAACAGGAUUAGAUACCCGUGUAGUC